rfam:Corynebacterium sp. DNF00584 genomic scaffold Scaffold17, whole genome shotgun sequence.
CGACGCCACCCACACUACGGAUCGUUCGGCACGUACCUGCCGAUGGAGGGACAGAAAACU